rnacentral:rRNA from 1 species
CUGGCGGCGNGUUCAACACAUGCGGGACGAACGAGAAAGUGGAGCAAUCCAUGAGUACAGUGGCGNAUGGGCGAGUAACACGUGACAACCUACCCUCGAGUGGGGAAUAACCUCGGGAAACCGGGGCUAAUACCGCAUAACAUCUACGGAUCAAAUGCGUAAGCAGCUUGAGGAGGGGGUCGCGGCCGAUUAGCUAGUUGGUGAGGUAAUGGCCCACCAAGGCAAUGAUCGGUAGCCGGCCUGAGAGGGCGCACGGCCACACUGGAACUGAAACACGGUCCAGACUCCUACGGGAGGCAGCAGUGGG